rnacentral:rRNA from 1 species
UACGUAGGGGGCAAGCGUUGUCCGGAAUCAUUGGGCGUAAAGCGCGUGUAGGCGGUCCGGUAAGUCCGCUGUGAAAGUCGGGGGCUCAACCCUCGGAUGCCGGUGGAUACUGUCGGGCUUGAGUACGGAAGAGGCGAGUGGAAUUCCUGGUGUAGCGGUGAAAUGCGCAGAUAUCAGGAGGAACACCAAUUGCGAAGGCAGCUCGCUGGGACGUUACUGACGAUGAGACGCGAAAGCGUGGGGAGCAAACAGG